rnacentral:tRNA from 1 species
ACUCUCUUAGUAUAACAAAUACAACUGACUUCCAAUUAGUAAAUCCCGACAAAACUUCGGAAGAGAGUA